UACGGAGGGUGCAAGCGUUAUCCGGAUUUACGGGGUUUAAAGGGUGUGUAGGCGGGUCUUUAAGGCAGUGGUGAAAUCUCCGAGCUCAACUUGGAAACUGCCAUUGAUACUAUUGAUCUUGAAUUUUGUUGAGGUAGGCGGAAUAAGUCAUGUAGCGGUGAAAUGCAUAGAUAUGACUUAGAACACCAAUUGCGAAGGCAGCUUGCUAAACAAAUAUUGACGCUGAGGCACGAAAGCGUGGGGAUCAAACAGG
rnacentral:rRNA from 1 species